CGGACGGGUGAGUAACGCGUGAGAAUCUGCCUUCAGGUUCGGGACAACCACUGGAAACGGUGGCUAAUACCGAAUGUGCAGAAAUGUGAAAUAUUUAUAGCCUGAAGAUGAGCUCGCGUCUGAUUAGCUAGUAGGUGUGGUAAGAGCGCACCUAGGCGACGAUCAGUAGCUGGUCUGAGAGGAUGAUCAGCCACACUGGGACUGAGACACGGCCCAGACUCCUACGGGAGGCAGCAGUGGGGAAUUUUCCGCAAUGGGCGAAAGCCUGACGGAGCAAUACCGCGUGAGGGAGGAAGGCUCUUGGGUUGUAAACCUCUUUUCUCAAGGAAGAACACAAUGACGGUACUUGAGGAAUAAGCAUCGGCUAACUCCGUGCCAGCAGCCGCGGUAAUACGGAGGAUGCAAGCGUUAUCCGGAAUGAUUGGGCGUAAAGCGUCCGCAGGUGGCUGUGUAAGUCUGCUGUUAAAUAGUGAGGCUCAACCUCAUAAAGGCAGUGGAAACUACAUGGCUAGAGUGCGUUCGGGGCAGAGGGAAUUCCUGGUGUAGCGGUGAAAUGCGUAGAGAUCAGGAAGAACACCGGUGGCGAAAGCGCUCUGCUAGGCCGCAACUGACACUGAGGGACGAAAGCUAGGGGAGCGAAUGGGAUUAGAUACCCCAGUAGUC
rnacentral:rRNA from 1 species